GGAGAGAUGGCCGAGUGGACUAAGGCGGCGGUCUUGAAAACCGCAGUCCCGCAAGGGACCGGGGGUUCGAAUCCCUCUCUCUCCGCCA
rnacentral:tRNA from 1 species